CGAGUUCUUCGGUGAGAGGGAGAGAGGAGGGUUUUCCUCCUUAAAUAGAGUCGGAGGGGGCCUCUUUCCGACUCCGGUUGGGAGUCAGUGAGAGGAGGAUGAAGACUCCCUUUGGGAGUCUUCUCCUCUGUUUCUUCCUUCCUUUUUUUUUCGUUUGUGUAUUGGGCUGGGUUUAAGGCCCAAUGGGCCGGGCCAUGACACGCCGUCAUCCACAACAGUCUCCUUCACCAGAGUGAUCAUCUCGACUCUCUCAUCGAGAUGAGUAGCAGCACUCAUGGCACUCUCGAUGUGCCACCCAUCAUUCAUGGCAUCCCUCUCCUUCUCAGUUGGAUCGAGCAAGGAAAGAAAAGUGACUGCGAACACCAUCUGUUUCCCUCUCUAACUCAUCGGGUGGUUCAACUUUUGGAGUUUUUCAAUGGCGAUUCAAUG
rnacentral:lncRNA from 1 species